UUUUCAUUUAUUUAUAUGCACUAGCUGCAGCAUCUUUCUGGUGCGAUGAUCUCCACUAAAGCAACUUUCCUUCUUGAUCUUGCGUAACGAUUGACUGCAAUGGCCUUUGCAAGCAGCUGUGCUCAAGAAUGUUUCCUCACUAGCAUAGGCUGUAUUGUGUCAUCGAACCCGGUUAUGUUAUGAAAAAAGCUUUGGAAGUUGGAUGUGGCAAAUUUGCAGAAUGGGAAUCUCUGAAGAGGGAGCAUAAAGCUUAUGCCUUUUUAGCUAAAGGUAGCAUAUCAUUUCCUUUUAAACAAUGCAUUGCGGAUGCAAUAAGUGCUUCUAGCACUGAUCAUUUUCCAAGGGAAGGCAUUCGUAAUACUCUGCUGCUAGGAGACCGUUUUGGAAGGAGAUCUGCAUAUAAACUGGUUUCAGAUAUUUGUGUUAUUACUGAAAUUAAUAUACAAACUUUUCAAGUUAAUUCUUCUGAACUCCUUUAAUUUUUUUGCCUUCUAGUUGACCUUUAUUGAGUUAUUCUAUGUUUUUAUGUCCAGCUUAUUUGUUUGUGGAUUUACCUAUAUAUUCGGCCAAACCUGUGCACUUUUGAAUGGGUCAUCCCUGAUCAUUGGAUGAUUCCUUAAUUGGGAUAGGAAAACCGCUUGCAGAAGUUCAAACUUCCAGAACCUGUUCUUUGCAUUGGAGGAAUUUUGCUGAACAAUUGGACAUAGUUGAUCAUAGAGAAGUUAUUAAUGGAUUAUUCUUCAUAUGUGUGUCGCACAUUCAAGCUAAUGGCCGAUCAUUAUCACCUGCAUUUGGUGUUGAAAUAGUUGAACCAUCUGAAAAGUUUGUAUUAGAAGCCCAGAUUUAGACUGCACCAGGGUUACCUGGAGAUGAUGGACCUCGUCCCUUUCUUGGUGGGUAUGUAGAGGUCAAUGUACAGUGGAGCAGAUUUUAAAUAUAUUGAAGGGACAAGGUGUAGAAGUACAGGAAUAAAGUUGGAACUUAGAGAAUGACAAGUCAGCUUUCUAAUCCUGUUACCUGUUUAUAGCCGUAGGUGCUCAAGUGAUGCUUGUAUAUCUGGUGUUGCAGAAAAUGAAAGUUCCAGCAUCCUUACGGCUCAUUUGAUAAUCACAUGAAAGUACAAGUCAGAUAUUUAAUUAGACAGCCUUGAUAUGUAGUUUUAAACUUGUUUACGAUGAAUCAACGAGGGAAUAUGAGAUAGAUGGUUUGAAUUACCAUGAA